UACGAAGGGGGCUAGCGUUGCUCGGAAUCACGGGGCGUAAAGGGUGCGUAGGCGGGGCUUUAAGUCAGGGGUGAAAUCCUGGAGCUCAACUCCAGAACUGCCUUUGAUACUGAGGAUCUUGAGUCCGGGAGAGGUGAGUGGAACUCCGAGUGUAGAGGUGAAAUUCGUAGAUAUCGGGAGGAACACCGGUGGCGAAGGCGGCGAUCUGGGAAGAUACUGACGCUGAGGUGCGAAAGCGUGGGGAGCAAACAGG
rnacentral:rRNA from 1 species